UACGGAAGGUCCUGGCGUUAUCCGGAUUUAUUGGGUUUAAAGGGUGCGUAGGCGGGCUCUUAAGUCAGCGGUAAAAUUGCGGUGCUCAACGCCGUAGAGCCGUUGAAACUUCCGCACUAGAGUGAGCGAGAAGUAAGCGGAAUGCGUGGUGUAGCGGUGAAAUGCAUAGAUAUCACGAGGAACCCCGAUUGCGAAGGCAGCCUGCCGGUGUGCCACUGACGCUGAGGCUCGAAGGUGCGGGUAUCAAACAGG
rnacentral:rRNA from 1 species